GAUGAACGCUGGCGGCGUGUCUAAUACAUGCAAGUCGAGCGAAUGGAUUAAGAGCUUGCUCUUAUGAAGUUAGCGGCGGACGGGUGAGUAACACGUGGGUAACCUGCCCAUAAGACUGGGAUAACUCCGGGAAACCGGGGCUAAUACCGGAUAACAUUUUGAACCGCAUGGUUCGAAAUUGAAUGGCGGCUUCGGCUGUCACUUAUGGAUGGACCCGCGUCGCAUUAGCUAGUUGGUGAGGUAACGGCUCACCAAGGCAACGAUGCGUAGCCGACCUGAGAGGGUGAUCGGCCACACUGGGACUGAGACACGGCCCAGACUCCUACGGGAGGCAGCAGUAGGGAAUCUUCCGCAAUGGACGAAAGUCUGACGGAGCAACGCCGCGUGAGUGAUGAAGGCUUUCGGGUCGUAAAACUCUGUUGUUAGGGAAGAACAAGUGCUAGUUGAAUAAGCUGGCACCUUGACGGUACCUAACCAGAAAGCCACGGCUAACUACGUGCCAGCCGCCGCUGUAA
rnacentral:rRNA from 1 species